GGAGGAGGAGGAGGAGGAGGAGACGUGGCAUGGCUGGGAGUCAAGGUCCCCGACUUGUUGUCACGGAUCUUCUGCAGUACAUCCACAGUGCCAAGCUCAGCUGCACCUGGGCUGGACCCAGAUUUGGAUCAGAGAGUCAUGGGCAGGUCUUACGCCUCCCAUGAGACAACUGGAAACAUCUGAAAAGCUACCCAGGCCCCAAGUUUCCAAGAAGCCCCAUCCAGGCCUCUUCUCCCUCCGUCGUGACAUCGCCAUCCCACAGAUGCAUGGUGCUGGCUCCCAGAGGCUGCUUUGCUUAAGCCCUCAAUGUUCAGUAGCUUAAAGCAACAGAAUGUACAGUUGGGAUGCCCAAAGCUGGAAAGCAUCUUAUCUACUAAGCAUUCUCCCUUGCAUCAGCUCCUGGAGGUUCCUUCUGCCUCCUCAGCUCCCUAUGGCUCCAGAGUUCUUGGCUUGUGGCCCCAUAAUUCAAGUCUCAGACUUUGCCAUA